CACACACAUAGGCACAUACAAACACACUGAUAUACACUGGCACAUACAUACAUACACACAUACACAAACCUUGACACACACUCACAUAUACUCUUUGACAGACACACAUACAAACACAUACACUCUCACUGACAAGCACACAUACAUUCUCACUGACAAACACACACACACUCAUACACUCACUGACAAGCACACAUACACUCUCACUGGCA